UCACUUCAGAAGUGUGCAGACUAAAACUGGAACCAUAGAAGGAAGCUCAGCAUGGCCCCUGCACAAGGAUGAAACAUCCUACACCCUUAAAAACUCAAUUUGUUU
ensembl:snRNA U6 U6 spliceosomal RNA